rnacentral:rRNA from 1 species
UACGUAGGUGGCAAGCGUUAUCCGGAAUUAUUGGCGUAAAGCGCGCGCAGGCGGUUAGAUAAGUCUGAUGUGAAAGCCCCCGGCUCAACCGGGGAGGGUCAUUGGAAACUGUUUAACUUGAGUGCAGAAGAGAAGAGUGGAAUUCCACGUGUAGCGGUGAAAUGCGUAGAGAUGUGGAGGAACACCAGUGGCGAAGGCGGCGAACUGGAUAGCAACUGACACUCAACUGCGAAAGGCGUGGGGAGCAAACAGG